rnacentral:lncRNA from 1 species
AUAAAAACCCUCCCCCACCUCAAAAAAAAACCUCCUUUUAGAUGCUCUGGAUUUGUUAAAAUUCAGAGAUUUACAAAAAAAAAAAUUAACACACACAGAAAAAAUAUAAAAAUAAAAAUAAACCAACCCCAAAUUUGGGUUUUGGGACACACCGAGUCUUCCAGGCACUCAGCAGGGAGGUCCCCGAGGGUCGUGUCCCCAAUUUGGGGCUGGCGGUGGCCGCGGGGACGCCGGAGCCCGGUGGGUUUUAGGGGGGAAGGCAGCGGCGUCCCCGGUGUCACCUCCGUGUCCCCUGGGGUGACCGGGAGGGGAGGGCUCGGUGGUCCCAAAAGCCGAGACCCCCAGGGAGGCAUUAAACAAAAAAUUCUUGUGGUGCUAAGAGGGGAGGACAGGGAGAUUCGUCCUGACCCUCGACCGUCUCCGAACCUUUCCGAGCUUGCCAGGGAAAAGGGCCCGGAGCUCCGCCGGGACACCGGGGUGGCACUGGGGUGGCCCCAGGGUGUCACCUGUCCUGUGUCAGGGCACUGGGAUGUCCCCAGAAUGUCACCUGUCCUGUGCCAGGGCACCGGGGUGGCCCCAGGAUGUCACCUGUCCAGUGCCAGGGCACUGGGAUCUCCUCAGGAUGUCACCUGUCCUGUGCCAGGACACCGGGACCUCCCUGGGAUGUCACCUGUCCUGUGCCAGGACACUGGGAUGUCCCCAGAAUGUCACCUGUCCUGUGCCAGGGCACCGGGGUGGCCCCAGGAUGUCCCCAGGGUGUCCCCAGGGUGUCCCCUACCCUUUGCCCAGCAUGUCCCCGAGAUGUCCCCUGCCCUGUGCCAGCCACCGGGAUGUCCCCAGGAGGGUCCCCGGUGCCACCUCCUUGUUCCCGAGCCCUCACCCAGGUGGCGACACCCGGAGCUCUCCGGAAGCCACCAGGGCUGCGUGGCCUGUCCCUGUCCCCGGCUGCCACCCCGCUGUCCCAACCGGGACGGGAGCGCCUCGUCGGGAUAAAAAAAUCCCGGGAGAACCAAAAUCCCGGGAAUUCCGGGCUCGGUGAGCCCGGGCACCUGCCCGAGCCCUCACCUGUGUCACCGCGGGUGCCACCGCACCUGGCAGGUGUCCCCAGCCCCGCAGGGGGAACGCCGAGCUCAGGUCCUGCCCCUCGGCCGUGUCCCCGUGAUGUCACCGAUGUCACCCCCGAGGCAGCGCCCGUGUCCCCAGGUCUGCCCUGCCAGCCCCGCUGCGUCCUCAGGUGUCACCCUCGGCCCCCAAAUCCUCUGUGACAGAGCCCCCCAUGGUCACCUGCCCGCAAUCUGCCCUCCUGUGCCCCCCAAAUCCGCCCUCCUGUGCCCCCCAAAUCCAUCCCCCUGUGCCCCCCAAAUCUAUCCCACAUGUGCCCCGCAAAUCCAUCUCAUCUGUGCCCCCAAAUCUGUCCCCCUGUGCCCCAAAUCCAGCCCCCUGUGCCCCAAAUCUGCCC